GUCCACCCGUAAACGUUGGGAACUAGUUGUGGGUCCAUUCCACGGAUUCCGUGACGCAGCUAACGCAUUAAGUUCCCCGCCUGGGGAGUACGGCCGCAAGGCUAAAACUCAAAGGAAUUGACGGGACCCGCACAAGCGGCGGAGCAUGCGGAUUAAUUCGAUGCAACGCGAAGAACCUUACCAAGGCUUGACAUAUACGAGAACGGGCCAGAAAUGGUCAACUCUUUGGACACUCGUAAACAGGUGGUGCAUGGUUGUCGU
rnacentral:rRNA from 1 species